rnacentral:rRNA from 1 species
UAGGGAAUCUUCCACAAUGGGCGCAAGCCUGAUGGAGCAACACCGCGUGAGUGAAGAAGGGUUUCGGCUCGUAAAGCUCUUUUGUUGGAGAAGAACGUGCGUGAGAGUAACUGUUCACGCAGUGACGGUAUCCAACCAGAAAGUCACGGCUAACUACGUGCC